rnacentral:rRNA from 1 species
AGUCGAACGGAAAGAGCCUAGCAGCUUAGCUAGCGGGUACUCGAAGUGAGCGAACGGGUGAAGUAACACGUGGGUGACCUGACCUUGCACUUCGGGAUAAGCUUGGGAAACUGGGUCUAAUACCGGAUAGGACAGCUGUUUAGUGUCAGUUGUGGAAAGUUUUUUCGGUGCAAGAUGAGCUCGCGGCCUAUCAGCUUGUUGGUGGGGUAAUGGCCUACCAAGGCGUCGACGGGUAGCCGGCCUGAGAGGGUGUACGGCCACAUUGGGACUGAGAUACGGCCCAGACUCCUACGGGGGGCAGCAGUGGGGAAUAUUGCACAAUGGGCGGAAGCCUGAUGCAGCGACGCCGCGUGGGGGAUGAAGGCCUUCGGGUUGUAAACUCCUUUCGACAGGGACGAAGCGUAAGUGACGGUACCUGUAUAAGAAGCACCGGCUAACUACGUGCCAGCAGCCGCGGUAAUACGUAGGGUGCGAGCGUUGUCCGGAAUUACUGGGCGUAAAGGGCUCGUAGGUGGUUUGUCGCGUCGUCUGUGAAAUUCCGGGGCUUAACUCCGGGCGUGCAGGCGAUACGGGCUGACUUGAGUGCUGUAGGGGAGACUGGAAUUCCUGGUGUAGCGGUGAAAUGCGCAGAUAUCAGGAGGAACACCGAUGGCGAAGGCAGGUCUCUGGGCAGUAACUGACGCUGAGGAGCGAAAGCAUGGGUAGCGAACAGGAUUAGAUACCCUGGUAGUCCAUGCCGUAAACGGUGGGCGCUAGGUGUAGGGGGCUUCCACGUCUUCUGUGCCGUAGCUAACGCAUUAAGCGCCCCGCCUGGGGAGUACGCCGCCAAGGCUA